rnacentral:lncRNA from 1 species
AAUGGUGUCCUUAUCAACUGAAUAGGUGAGAGAUACUGUCUGCUAUUGAGGAGAGAAAAGACAUUUGAUUACUUAACACUACAGGGUGGCCAUAAGGUGAUAAGAUAGUAAUCCUGCACAGCUGUCUUAAAGAGGGAGGAGAGUGUAGGAGAAUAGCAGGAAAUGCAAAAUAUGCUAAGUUCGGAUCGCAUAUCUAAAAGAGAAAACAGUAAAAUUUGAAUAUAGAGACAGACGUCUUUAGAAACUUCUGUCUGGUGUGACCAGGGCCCUGAGAGACGUCUUGUGUCCACAGAGAGAUGAGAGGGGUGGAGUGGGCUGGGAGGUCGGGAGGAGGUGUGGAUGCCUAGCAGGACCAAGCACACACAACAAAUCUGGUAGCAAAGCCUGACCUCACAGCUCAGGGGGAAGGACUUCACACUUACACCCUAGGGAGUAGACCCUCUAUUCUGUCCCUUCCAAUGACUUUUAAGCUUUCUUCCAGCAGUUGUUACUAAUACCAGGAAACGAUAAAGAAGUGAAUGAAGUGUAUUCGUUUAUUUUAAACGAUGUCUGGAAAACAGAUGUAAAUAAAUAAUCUCUCCAGGUAAAGAACUCAGUGAACAAGACAACUGCAUAACCUCAACGAGGAAAGUUCAACUUACAAAUAAGUUCUAUGGGAAAGGCGAACACUGAGCAUCAUGGGCACUUCACACACUGUUAGUGCACUGUGAAUUCCUACAAGCAUCCCGAAAAGAAACCUCAUAAUAUGUAUCCACAGCCUUGGAAAUAUUUAAGACCUUUUAUUCAGUAUGAUUCCCUUUCUAGAAAUGUGCCCUGAAGAUGUAAUCUGUCACUCAAAGACCCUGCACAAGGAUAAUUGAUGGAUUAGUAUUUAUUAGAGUGAAACUGUAACUAUCUGAAUGAUCCAUAGUUAGGGGAAUUGUUAAAUGAUUAUAUGUCCUUACAGUGAAAUAUUAGACAGCUUUAAAAAUGUCAACGUUAUAACAACAUUUAUGGACAUCGAAAAUGCUAGUGAUUUAAUGUUAAGUGGAAAUAAAACAGAAACCAGGACUUUCUCUAUGUGGUCAUUAUAGCUCUUUAUUCUU